CCUACGGGGAGCAGCAGUGAGGAAUAUUGGUCAAUGGACGAGAGUCUGAACCAGCCAAGUAGCGUGAAGGAUGACUGCCCUAUGGGUUGUAAACUUCUUUUAUAUGGGAAUAAAAUGUUCCACGUGUGGGAUUUUGUAUGUACCAUAUGAAUAAGGAUCGGCUAACUCCGUGCCAGCAGCCGCGGUAAUACGGAGGAUCCGAGCGUUAUCCGGAUUUAUUGGGUUUAAAGGGAGCGUAGGUGGAUUGUUAAGUCAGUUGUGAAAGUUUGCGGCUCAACCGUAAAAUUGCAGUUGAAACUGGCAGUCGUGAGUACAGUAGAGGUGGGCGGAAUUCGUGGUGUAGCGGUGAAAUGCUUAGAUAGCACGAAGAACUCCGAUUGCGAAGGCAGCUCACUGGACUGCAACUGACACUGAGGCUCGAAAGUGUGGGUAUCAAACAGGAUUAGAUACCCCAGUAGUC
rnacentral:rRNA from 1 species